GAUGAACGCUGGCGGCGUGCCUAAUACAUGCAAGUCGAACGAGGUGCUUGAGUAGCAAUACGAGAGUAUCCUAGUGGCGAACGGGUGAGUAACACGUGGGUAAUGUGCCUUCUGGUGGGGAAUAACCUUGGGAAACCAGGGCUAAUACCGCAUAUCGUGCUUCGGCAUGAAAGCCUUCGGGCGCCAGUAGAGCAGCCUGCGUCCCAUUAUUUAGUCCUAGUUGGUAGGGUAAUGGCCUACCAAGGGUACGAUGGGUAGCUGGUCUGAGAGGAUGAUCAGCCACACUGGAACUGAGACACGGUCCAGACUCCUACGGGAGGCAGCAGUGGGGAAUAUUGCGCAAUGGGGGAAACCCUGACGCAGCCACGCCGCGUGAGUGAUGAAGGCCUUC
rnacentral:rRNA from 1 species